AUUUUAUAGUUUGGGCAUUUUUUGAACAUAUCCUUGAACAUCUUCCUUCCUUCAUAAAAACAUUCAAAAUUUGCUUCUAGAAUAUUGAGAUCUCAUACUUCAGUUU
rnacentral:snoRNA from 1 species